rnacentral:rRNA from 1 species
GUGGGGAAUAUUGGACAAUGGGCGAAAGCCUGAUCCAGCCAUGCCGCGUGUGUGAAGAAGGUCUUCGGAUUGUAAAGCACUUUAAGUUGGGAGGAAGGGCAGUAAGUUAAUACCUUGCUGUUUUGACGUUACCGACAGAAUAAGCACCGGCUAACUUCGUGCCAGCAGCCGCGGUAAUACGAAGGGUGCAAGCGUUAAUCGGAAUUACUGGGCGUAAAGCGCGCGUAGGUGGUUCAGCAAGUUGAAGGUGAAAUCCCCGGGCUCAACCUGGGAACUGACUCCAAAACUGCAUGACUAGAGGACGGUAGAGGGUAGUGGAAUUUCCUGUGUAGCGGUGAAAUGCGUAGAUAUAGGAAGGAACACCAGUGGCGAAGGCGACUACCUGGACUGAUACUGACACUGAGGUGCGAAAGCGUGGGGAGCAAACAGGAUUAGAUACCCUAGUAGUCC